rnacentral:lncRNA from 1 species
CCGGGGAGGCGAUGCCCGGCCCCGGGGCCCCUCGCCCUUAUCGGACGCCGCUCCCGCAGCACGGGGUCGGCGCUGCCCCUCCGGCCGGGGCUCCCCGCGGGGCGGCUCCCGGCCCUUCUCCUCCCCGGGGGUGUCCGCCGGUCGGCCGAGGCGAGAGGAUCCAACAAUAAAGUAGAUUGAAAUAAGUCUGCGGUUGAGCGGCAACGUGAGGCCGGGAGGAAGCACGCUGCUGCCGUGCGAAAUGCGGACCAUGUGUGGGAGCGAUGUGCCCGGCGGCACACGGCGGCGAGGGACGGGGCAGGGCCGGGCCGGGCCGGGCCCCUCUGCUGUGUGCCGCCGUCCCGGGGUCGUACGGCACAGCCGGCGCGAUACCGACUUAUGGCCGUGCGCCGUUCCCGUGAUGGUCGGGAUCCUUUCGGUCUGAGGCUUUCGCGACGUGCUUUGUGUUCGCCCACCUCGAGGCUCUGCGGGCAAAGGGUUAAAUCUUCGGAGGGCUGGAAGGAAGCAGCCGAGUUUCAGCAAAGAAGAAAAAAAAAAGAAAAGGAAAAUAAAGAAAGGUGGGGGAGAAGAAAGGAGUGGGAGCGGGGAGAGGCGAGGGCCGCACGAUGCCCUGAUCAUCCCUCUGGCUGCCGGAGAAUAAUAAUUAAUCCCAAUCGUAACCCGCGGCCUUUCUCUCCUAUUGGGCUCCGCCAGGAAGCGCCUCCGGCCCUGGGGCUCUCCGUUCCCUCUCCGCCCCCCCCUCCCCGUCCUUUCCUCGGGCAGAGAGAGGAGAAAGGGCCGCGCUGCCCACCGCCGCCCGCGCUCCUCCGAUCGCCGCGCACAGCUGUGGCAGCGCGGUGCCUCUUCCAGCGCUCGCUCCUCUCUCCCGGCUCCGGCUCGGCACCCUCCUCCUCCUCCCCCUUUGUUCUCCCCCCCCCCCCCCCCCCUCCGCCUUUCCCUCUCUUUAAAUAGAUUUCAAGGCGCUGCCUGCUGGAGAGCGGCUCUCCGGAGAGCGCAGCUAUCGCUUCCCCGCCGCUAACCUCCCCCUUUCCUCCGCUCUCCGAGCACAACGCGAUCCCGUGGCCGAGCAACCUGCGCUGGGAAAGAUAGAGAAAAGCACAACCGGCCCCCCCCGGGUCGUGCGCGACCGCGUGCAAAGGGAGGGCUCGCGUUGACCCUCCCGAACGCAGAGGGCCGAG